rnacentral:rRNA from 1 species
UACAGAGGUCUCAAGCGUUGUUCGGAAUCACUGGGCGUAAAGGGUGCGUAGGCGGAACGCCCAAGUCAGAUGUGAAAAGACCGGGGGCUCAAACCCCCGGAACGGCAUCCGAUACUGGCGAUCUAGAGGGCUCGAGGGGGAGUGUGGAAUUCACGGUGUAGCAGUGAAAUGCGUAGAUAUCGUGAGGAACACCAGUGGCGAAGGCGACACUCUGGAGAGCAACUGACGCUGAGGCACGAAGGCCAGGGGAGCGAACGGG